rnacentral:rRNA from 1 species
GACGAACGCUGGCGGCGUGCUUAACACAUGCAAGUCGAACGAAGUGGCGAACGGGUGAGUAAUACGUGGGUAACCUGCCCUCCUUUUUGGGAUAAGCCUUGGAAACGGGGUCUAAUACCGAAUAAAGGGGGAUGGGCUCGCGGUCUAUCAGCUUGUUGGUGGGGUGAUGGCCUACCAAGGCGGUGCCGGGUAGCCGGCCUGCGAGGGUGACCGGCCAAAUUGGGACUGAGAGACGGCUACGAGAGGUAGCGGUGGCAGAAGUGGGGGAUAUGGCGCAAUGGGCGAAAGCCCGAUGCAGCGAUGCCGCGUGGGGGAUGAAGGCUUUAGGUUUGUAAACCUCUUUCGAUAGCGAACGGGUAGGUGGAGAAGAAGCGCCGGCUAACUACGUGCCAGCAGCCGCGGUAAUAC